AAUGAACGCUGGCGGUAGGCUUAACACAUGCAAGUCGGACGGAAACGAUGAAGUGCUUGCACUUCAGGCGUCGAGUGGCGGACGGGUGAGUAACGCGUGGGAAUCUGCCCUAUAGUACGGAAUAGCCGUUGGAAACGACGAUUAAUACCGUAUAUCUUCCCAGGAAGAAAGACUUGUCGCUAUAGGAUGAGCCCACGUUAGAUUAGUUUGUUGGUAGGGUAAUGGCCUACCAAGACUACGAUCUAUAGCUGGUUUGAGAGGAUGAUCAGCCACACUGGAACUGAGAUACGGUCCAGACUUCUACGGAAGGCAGCAGUGAGGAAUAUUGGACAAUGGGCGAAAGCCUGAUCCAGCAAUACCGCGUGAGUGAUGAAGGCUUUAGGGUUGUAAAACUCUUUCAGUAGGGAUGAUAAUGACGGUACCUACAGAAGAAGCACCGGCUAACUCCGUGCCAGCCGCCGCGGUAAUU
rnacentral:rRNA from 1 species